rnacentral:rRNA from 1 species
UGAAAGUUUUAUUCUGGCUUGGGAUAUUUAUUUGAUGGAUUAUUUUUAGAUGUAAGGUUUGUUAGAAAUAUUCGAUGGCAGUAGUUGGAUUUAUUGAUGGGAGUAAUCUUGAAUUGGUAAUUUGGAUAGAAUUGGCAAAAGUCGUGCCAGCUGUCGCGGUUAGACGAUGAAUUCGAAUGAAUAUUAUUGAUGGGGAGUAAGUUGUAAUAGAUAUUAUAAGAGUAACGUGGGGUGAAAUGUGGUUAUUAUUUAGUAUGGGCGUAUAUCUUUGAAAUUUAGGUUGUAGACUAGGAUUAGAUACCCUAUUAUACUAUAAGUUAAUUUGGACAUCAGGGUAGUAUUAGGAUUAUAUGAAACCCAAAGGAUUUGGCGGUAUUUCAGUCUUUUUAGAGGAAUCUGUUUUGUGAUCGACGAUACACGAUUAGUUGUACUUAGUUGUUGCUUGUAUACCGUCGUCAGCAGAUUGUCUUAGCAGGGAUCAUUCGGAUUACUAGGGCAGGAGCAUGUCAGAUCAAGGUGCAGUAUUGAUUAAGAAUGAUAAUGGAUUACAAUAGUUUUAAUUAUUACGGAUUACAAUAUUAAAUGUUGAAUGAAGGUGGAUUUAAAGGUAAAUUCGUUUUAGAUGAUGAGUUGAUUGAAGCUCUGAAGUAUGUACAUAUCGCCCGUCACUCUCAUUAUAAGAUGAGAUAAGUCGUAACAUAGUAGGUGUACUGGAAGGUGUAUCUAGAAAGGA